AGGUGUCCGCUGCGAAAUGGGAUGCCCCGGUGCCUAUGCCAUGGCUCCCCCCUGUCCCAUCCAGGAUGGGGCCAUGGCAUAGGCACACCCCGGUCGUCGGGAUUGGUUGGCGGUCCGGCGGUCUCCGACCGCCGGCCGUCGACCGAUCAUCGGUCCGGCGACCACGGUCAGGUGGGUUGGUAGUGCUGUGUUGAUCUUUUUCGAGAGGAGACGCUCGGUAUAUCUCGGAUUUCGAUUUUUCCAACGUAUUUCGAAGGUCAAGCGGGCGCAUGGCUUCGGCUGAGCAUUACCGUGAGAUCGGAGGAUGCCGCGGUGGGUUGAGAUUUGAGUUUUAACCUCUCGGGGGAGCGCAACACUGUCUCUACUUUCUCAUUUGGCCGUUGAUGGAGAUUUUUCGUUAUUCUCCAUCKUGUCCCGUCGGAAAAAAUGUUUUUCAAAAUUGGUCUGGUGGGCUAGURGUGCUGUGUUGAUCUCUUUCGAGGGGAGAGGGACGGUUCAUCUCGGAUUUCGAUUUUUCCAACGUAUUUCGAAGGUCAAGCGGGCGCAUGGCUUCGGCUGAGCAUUACCGUGAGAUCGGAGGAUGCCGCGGUGGGUUGAGAUUUGRGUUUUAACCUCUCGGGGGAGCGCAACACUGUCUCUACUUACUCGUUUGGCCGUAAAAGUGAUUAUUCAUUAUGCUCCAUAUCAAAACAUCCCGAAAAAAAUGCGGAAGAACUAGCAUGCUUCGGCUUGUGCUAACUUGAUGCAUCCUAAGGUUUGUUGCGGUGGGUUGGGCGUAAUGGAGAAUCGUUUGUUUUUCAAAAAAGUUUUCCCUGUCCCUUAAAAAAGGUUUUCGUCCCUCGGAUUGUGUGUUUCUUCACAUGAAGCGGUGUUGGUGUGGUCUUGCUUGAUGUUUCCGCAUGCUCGGCGGUUCUAGUAAUCGUUGGGUUGUGGUUCGUUCGGUUAGGUCAUCAUCAAACGUACGCAACUCAUGUGUGAGUGGUGGUUGGAUGGCAUGGGUCUGCAAGCUCCUUGCUCAGCGCAACGAAUUGUAAGCUCUCCAUCCUUUUCAUAGUCUUCCGCAAGCAUGGUCAUUUGCCUUGUGGGUAAGAUCGGUAUCCUGUGCUUUUUACCAAUUGAAUGGAAUUCGACGGUUUUCAUUUCUCUAUUCGCCCGGUUCCCUUUGGGGUUUUGGGUGGACGAUAGGCUGACCUUGUGUUCUAGGUACACCUCGCAUUUUUGUGUGGUGGUUACCAUGGCCCAUGGGGUUAUGCUUGUUCUCUCGGAUGCGGAUCGUUAGUUGUGGGCGAGGGGUUACGACCUCCAUUCGUCCAAGCUAUUUAUGCAUUUGUCAAUCGACACGAACGACUGCUGCACUCGUCUUGGCUUUUACAGUCGAAUGGCUGUACAAUGUCCAUGCGAGUGUCGGUGUCGCGAAGGAAUGC
rnacentral:misc_RNA from 1 species